AGAGUUUGAUCCUGGCUCAGAGUGAACGCUGGCGGCGUGGAUUAGGCAUGCAAGUCGAGCGAUGGUGAGUAAGUGAGGCCGUAAGGCCGAACGAAUCGAACCAUAGCGGCAGACGGGUGAGGAACACGUGAGUAAUUUACCUUUAAAUUGGGGAUAGCCUCGAGAAAUCGUGGAUAAUACCUGAUGUGUUCUGAAAGGCAUAAGUCUUUCAGGAUAAAGGCGGGGACCGUAAGGCCUGCCGUUUAAAGAUGAGCUCGCGUCCUAUCAGCUUGUUGGUGGGGUAAUGGCCUACCAAGGCAUUUGACGGGUAGCUGGUCUGAGAGGAUGGUCAGCCACACUGGGACUGAGACACUGCCCAGACUCCUACGGGAGGCUGCAGUCGAGAAUCUUUAGCAAUGGGCGAAAGCCUGACUAUGCGACGCCGCGUGAGGGAUGACGGCCUUCGGGUUGUAAACCUCUUUCGAUGGGGAAGAAAAUCCUUGACAAGAAUACUGUCAAGGACUGCCGGUACCUAGAGAAGAAGCCACGGCCAACUCCGUGCCAGCAGCCGCGGUAAUACGGAGGUGGCAAGCGUUACUCGGAUUCAUUGGGUGUAAAGGGCAGGUAGGUGGCUAUAUAUGUCGAAGGUGAAAUCCUUGCGCUCAACGCAAGAACUGCCUUCGAGACUAUGUAGCUUGAGUGCAGAAGAGGAAAACGGAAUUCCAGGUGUAAGAGUGAAAUCUGUAGAUAUCUGGAAGAACACCAGUGGCGAAAGCGGUUUUCUGGUCUGCAACUGACAUUGAGCUGCGAAAGCUAGGGGAGCAAACAGGAUUAGAUACCCUGGUAGUCCUAGCCGUAAACGAUGAGCACUAGGUGUUGGUCCGCAAGGGUCAGCGCCGUAAGAUAACUCGUUAAGUGCUCCACCUGGGGACUACGGCCGCAAGGCUAAAACUCAAAGGAAUUGACGGGGGCCCGCACAAGCGGUGGAACAUGUGGUUCAAUUCGAUGCUACGCGAAGAACCUCACCAGGGCUUGACAUGUAGGUAGUAAGAACCUGAAAGGGGGAUGACUCGUAAAACCGAGAGCCUAUGCAGGUGCUGCAUGGCUGUCGUCAGCUCGUGUCGUGAGAUGUUGGGUUAAGUCCCGCAACGAGCGCAACCAUCAUCUUUAGUUGCCACCAUGAACCCGAAAGGGUUUGAUGAGCACUUUAAAGAGACUGCCUGCGAUAAGCAGGAGGAAGGUGGAGAUGACGUCAAGUCCGUAUGGCCUUUAUGCCCUGGGCUACACACGUGUUACAAUCCCUACUACAAAGCGUUGCCAAACCGCGAGGUGGAGCUAAUCGCAAAAAAGUAGGGUCAGUUCGGAUUGGAGUCUGCAAUUCGACUCCAUGAAGUUGGAAUCGCUAGUAAUGGCGGAUCAGCUACGCCGCCGUGAAUACGUUCCCGGGCCUUGUACACACCGCCCGUCAAGCGAUGGGAGCUGGGAGUACCCAAGUCUCUAAGCAAUUAGGGCCGAAGGUAAAACUGGUGACUGGCGCUAAGUCGUAACAAGGUA
rnacentral:rRNA from 1 species